rnacentral:pre_miRNA from 1 species
ACCGCUGAGCCAUCUCUCCAGCCCCGCAAGACCUUAUCUUAAAGAAAAAAAUAAACCCCCACGGGGCUGGAGAGAUGGCUCAGUGGU